rnacentral:pre_miRNA from 1 species
AGUAUACUCCCUCCGUUCGAAAUUACUUGUCUUGGAAAUGGAUGUAUCUAGAACUAAGAUACAUCCAUUUCUGCGACAAGUAAUUUUGAACGGAGGGAGUACUUG